rnacentral:lncRNA from 1 species
GUAUCCAUUUCAGAGUCCUGAUAAUUUUUAAAUUUAUCAUGUAGAUUGAUUCGGAUAAGAUAUUUUUUUUUAUGGAAGACUCGAUAUGGAGGAGUUCUACUCUAUCUGGACUUUUCUAAAUUGAGAGAGAGAGAGAGACGAAUUUGAUGUUGAGAAGUUUAGCUCGGCUACAGACGAGCUAUGAUAGAUCGUCUAGGGUUGAGGUUAU